rnacentral:rRNA from 1 species
UACGUAGGGACCAAGCGUUGUUCGGAUUUACUGGGCGUAAAGAGCGCGCAGGCGGUCGUUUAAGUCGAGUGUGAAAGCCCCCGGCUCAACCCGGAAAAUGCCUUGAAAACUAUCCGGCUAGAGGGUUGGAGGGGAGACUGGAAUUCUCGGUGUAGCAGUGAAAUGCGUAGAUCUCGAGAGGAACACCAGUGGCGAAGGCGGGUCUCUGGACAACACCUGACGCUGAGGCACGAAAGCCAGGGGAGCAAACGGG